rnacentral:rRNA from 1 species
AGCGCAGACGGUUGAUUAAGUCUGAUGUGAAAGCCCGGAGCUCAACUCCGGAAUGGCAUUGGAAACUGGUUAACUUGAGUGCAGUAGAGGUAAGUGGAACUCCAUGUGUAGCGGUGGAAUGCGUAGAUAUAUGGGAGAACACCAGUGGCGAAGGCGGCUUACUGGACUGUAACUGACGUUGAGGCUCGAAAGUGUGGGUAGCAAACA